rnacentral:lncRNA from 1 species
AUGUUUUGAGGAUUGUGGGCUUGAAAUAACCAGCCUAUCCAUCUUGCAAGACCACUUAUCCAACCUGUACCUUGCCUGUUCACCUUGGAGAAGGUUGUGGGAAACAACAUCAAGCACUUUGCUGAAGUUCAGGUUUUAGCAAUCCAGAAGAGUUACCUGUAAGCAGUACCUGUGUGAUGGUUGGCAU